rnacentral:piRNA from 2 species
UCUUUUCUUGCUUUGGACGGUUUCCU